UAAACUGUAGCUAAAUCUAAAGCGCUUCACUUACGUUGGAGCUUCACUUACGUUGGAGAGAUCUUAA
rnacentral:tRNA from 1 species